GACGAACGCUGGCGGCGUGCUUAACACAUGCAAGUCGAACGGAAAGGCCCUGCUUUUGUGGGGUGCUCGAGUGGCGAACGGGUGAGUAACACGUGAGUAACCUGCCCUUGACUUUGGGAUAACUUCAGGAAACUGGGGCUAAUACCGGAUAGGAGCUCCUGCUGCAUGGUGGGGGUUGGAAAGUUUCGGCGGUUGGGGAUGGACUCGCGGCUUAUCAGCUUGUUGGUGGGGUAGUGGCUUACCAAGGCUUUGACGGGUAGCCGGCCUGAGAGGGUGACCGGCCACAUUGGGACUGAGAUACGGACCAGACUCCUACGGGAGGCAGCAGUGGGGAAUAUUGCACAAUGGGCGGAAGCCUGAUGCAGCAACCCCGCGUGCGGGAUGACGGCCUUCGGGUUGUAAACCGCUUUCGCCUGUGACGAAGCGUGAGUGACGGUAAUGGGUAAAGAAGCACCGGCUAACUACGUG
rnacentral:rRNA from 1 species